ACGGAGGGUGCGAGCGUUGUCCGGAAUCACUGGGCGUAAAGGGCGCGUAGGCGAUCUGAAAAGUUCUGUGUGAAAGCCCACAUGUUAACUGUGGAAGUGCACAGAAAACUGUUGGAUUUGAGUUCAGGAGAGGAAGGCAGAAUUCCCGGUGUAGCGGUGAAAUGCGUAGAGAUCGGGAGGAAUACCAGUGGCGAAGGCGGCCUUCUGGACUGACACUGACGCUGAGGCGCGAAAGCCAGGGGAGCAAACGGGA
rnacentral:rRNA from 1 species